rnacentral:lncRNA from 1 species
AAAAACAUAGAAUGAGGAUGGCGCGAUCACUACUGGUACGGUUGCUAGCAAAUUUGGUGGACCUCGCAUAGCAAAAGAACAUGUUCCGGAUACCACCAAUUAUCCUACACCAAGACCACCGACAAGAAAUUUGAAAUAGUUCAUUGCAGCUUCUACUUUUUAAGAAUUACAUAUUAUUUUUUUUAACUUUUGGAUAAUUUUUUUCUGUUUAAC